rnacentral:rRNA from 1 species
GACGAACGCUGGCGGCGUGCUUAACACAUGCAAGUCGAACGGAAAGGCCCUGCUUUUGUGGGGUGCUCGAGUGGCGAACGGGUGAGUAACACGUGAGUAACCUGCCCUUGACUUCGGGAUAACUUCAGGAAACUGGGGCUAAUACCGGAUAGGAGCUCCUGCUGCAUGGUGGGGGUUGGAAAGUUUCGGCGGUUGGGGAUGGACUCGCGGCUUAUCAGCUUGUUGGUGGGGUAGUGGCUUACCAAGGCUUUGACGGGUAGCCGGCCUGAGAGGGUGACCGGCCACAUUGGGACUGAGAUACGGCCCAGACUCCUACGGGAGGCAGCAGUGGAGAAUAUUGCACAAUGGGCGGAAGCCUGAUGCAGCAACGCCGCGUGCGGGAUGACGGCCUUCGGGUUGUAAACCGCUUUCGCCUGUGACGAAGCGUGAGUGACGGUAAUGGGUAAAGAAGCACCGGCUAACUACGUGCCAGCAGCCGCGGUGAUACGUAGGGUGCGAGCGUUGUCCGGAUUUAUUGGGCGUAAAGGGCUCGUAGGUGGUUGAUCGCGUCGGAAGUGUAAUCUUGGGGCUUAACCCUGAGCGUGCUUUCGAUACGGGUUGACUUGAGGAAGGUAGGGGAGAAUGGAAUUCCUGGUGGAGCGGUGGAAUGCGCAGAUAUCAGGAGGAACACCAGUGGCGAAGGCGGUUCUCUGGGCCUUUCCUGACGCUGAGGAGCGAAAGCGUGGGGAGCGAACAGGCUUAGAUACCCUGGUAGUCCACGCUGUAAACGGUGGGUACUAGGUGUGGGGUCCAUUCCACGGGUUCCGUGCCGUAGCUAACGCUUUAAGUACCCCGCCUGGGGAGUACGGCCGCAAGGCUAAAACUCAAAGGAAUUGACGGGGCCCCGCACAAGCGGCGGAGCAUGCGGAUUAAUUCGAUGCAACGCGUAGAACCUUACCUGGGUUUGACAUGGAUCGGGAGUGCUCAGAGAUGGGUGUGCCUCUUUUGGGGUCGGUUCACAGGUGGUGCAUGGCUGUCGUCAGCUCGUGUCGUGAGAUGUUGGGUUAAGUCCCGCAACGAGCGCAACCCUUGUUCACUGUUGCCAGCACGUUAUGGUGGGGACUCAGUGGAGACCGCCGGGGUCAACUCGGAGGAAGGUGGGGAUGACGUCAAGUCAUCAUGCCCCUUAUGUCCAGGGCUUCACGCAUGCUACAAUGGCUGGUACAGAGAGUGGCGAGCCUGUGAGGGUGAGCGAAUCUCGGAAAGCCGGUCUCAGUUCGGAUUGGGGUCUGCAACUCGACCUCAUGAAGUCGGAGUCGCUAGUAAUCGCAGAUCAGCAACGCUGCGGUGAAAACGUUCCCGGGGCU